UGGUGAGUGAGUCUUGCUCGUGGGGCAGUUUGCUGGAAAACGCUGCUGGGAAUCCUGGUUUCAGAGCAGGCUUGGAGCCCUUAUUCCUGGGACAAGGAUAAGUGAAAAGAACAUGCUUGCAAGACCACAGACUGAACACUGAACCAGCCUCCUCCUCCAAUCAAUGUCAUCACCACUUCCAGAAAAACAACAGGAGGAAUUCAGCCAACUGGAGAGCAUACCUUGGGUGAACUUAGGUAAGUCUUACUCUACAUUUGUGCUGGUUUUUAUCAGAAGUGCUUUAGCACUGAGGCAAAGAAGCUGUUUCAACAUCUGGCCAAACCAGUCUGCUAAGUGCAUUCCACAAGCUUUACAUUAACACUGGAAACUCCACUGCUGUGCUUUCUUAGGAUACCUGUGCACAGAGGUAGCCAUAAAUCUACCUGCUGCAAUAGCCUUGGUGUUAAACCAUAGAGAAAGCAUCAGUUUUUUCCCUUGCACUUUACUUGUUCAAGGCCAUGUCAGUAUUAGCCAUUAGUUUUAUGCAGAAUCUCAUGAUACAAAGGAGUUAAUGAGACUGACUACAUAUAAACAUGAUUUUUGGAUCAUCCAGGGGUAUAAAGACCAUAGUAAAGAAU
rnacentral:lncRNA from 1 species